UCCCUGAUAGUAUAUCGGUUAGUACACCCGCCUGUCAAUGGAGCUGCUCAUUGUCCCAGUACGCGGGAGAGCGGAGUUCGAUUCUCCGUCAGAGAG
rfam:Hydnomerulius pinastri MD-312 unplaced genomic scaffold scaffold_28, whole genome shotgun sequence.